rnacentral:rRNA from 1 species
UUUUGAGUUAUUUUUAAAGUCUGACCUGCCCACUGAAGUUAUUUAAAUGRCCGCAGUAUUCUAWCUGUGCAAAGGUAGCAUAAUCAUUAGUCUUUUAAUUGAAGGMUGGUAUGAACGGUUGGACGAGGUAUAAGCUGUUUCAUAUAAAUUUAUAAUAGAAUUUUAUAUUUUAGUUAAAAAGCUAAAAUAUAAUUAAAAGACGAGAAGACCCUAUAAAUCUUUAUACUUUAUGUUUUUUAAGUUUUUUAGAUUGUAUUUUAUUUUUAAAAUUUGAAGUAUUUUGUUGGGGUGAUAUUAAAAUUUAAUGAACUUUUAAUUAUUUAAAAUCAUUAAUUUAUGAAUUAUUGAUCCAUUAAUAGUGAUUAUAAGAUUAAGUUACUUUAGGGAUAACAGCGUAAUUUUUUUGGAGAGUUC